GAUGUCGGUCUUAAACAACAUUAUUGUUAAUAUGUAAUGACAAAUGGUGUCUUUCAAGAUACAUGAAUACACAUAUUAUUGUAUCCCUUAAAGUUACUAAAUUGAAUUGUGAUACAAGGAAGAAAGCAAAUUGAUAGAUAACUUGUGACAACCAUGAUCUGAUCAUUUCAGUUCAAUUAAAGAUGAAGACCUCAUACUUUCAUCAAAUGUUUUACAAUUAUAAUAUAUGAUUGAAACAUCAAAAUUUCCACAUG
rnacentral:lncRNA from 1 species